GCCGCUUCCAAUGAGUCAGAAAUGGGGAGAUACGGAAGUGUACUGCAGCCACGGCCCUUAGCACACGGCUGUGGCCGUGCACCAUUACUGACCCCACCCCCGUUACCUGGCAACGGUUACCCAGUACCAUUGAUAGUCCUGCUCCGCCAUUGGUCCGUGCCUGUCAGGAGGCCCCUCCCCAAAGCAACCAGCUUCAAUGAGCAACCGCGAGUGGUCCUCCUCAGUCACUGGUCAGGGCCACAGUGGGCCCCUCCCACAAGCAACGCUCUGUCCUUGAGCGACCAUUAGUGGUUCCAUCUGUUGGUGGGAUAGUGGUCCUCAAGCAGAGAGUGAGGGUGAAGGAAAGAACAUUUAGAAAACAGAUGUUGUAUCAACAAUAACCAUUAUCCUUUAUUGGAUCCCAAAGAGGUUUAUCUUUAUCCAUAAACAGGUGAGGAAGAUACAAGCUUUCAGCUCAGCUCUACACUUAAAUGCCUCACUGGGAAGAGGGCAAAGGCUCUGCCAUCCGUCUAUCAUCAUGACUCCGGAGUUCUCUGGAAAAUGGAAGAAAGACAUGCAGCGACAGAGUGGACAUACUAUUGUCCCAAACUCCUUGAAACAUCUCUGUUCAGUUCUCAGUAGACACUGCUGACGGUAUAUGGCUCAUCAAACCCCCAUAAUCACUAUUUUUAUGGAUACUAUUGCUCUAUCAAACUAGUAACCAAAUUAAUUAACAGGACUAAAAAUACCCUAAUUUGGGUUUUAGCCUCUUUUUCUGUUUAUAAGGCAUGACAGCUUAGAAAAAGGAUUUUAAAGAAUCUGAAUAAAGCCCAUUCCAAGGAAACACUCCAGAAUGAAAUGGUUACAAGCAAAAAGAAAGCACGUGAGGUAUUUAAUCUCCAGUCUUCUUCUCAAGCCAAAUUAAUCACAGGCUUCCAGAAGAAAAAGUUCAGGUAUCUUCCGUACCUCUCUCUUCACGUUCACAAUCGCUGUAGCAAAAACGAUUGAGGUUAGUUUGGCCAACCAUAUAGAUCUUAUCCCUUUCCCCAAUUCAGAAACUCUUUCUUUUCUCUUAAAGCAGAAGUGUAAGGUGUAAAGUCUGAGUGGAGGGAUCUUCUGGGCUCUUUCUUCUGGGUCUGUCUCGGCAUCACAGCCAAGUCCUGGGCAGAAACUCGAUAAAGCUGACACUGCUCCAAGUAGCAUGGUUCCCAUGCACACAGGCGUAUGAUGGAGGCCAUUCAGAACCAGCUGGGAUGUCGUCUGGUUUGCAUUUGGCUAUCUUCCCAGGCUCUCACAUGUGACUUCUUUGUUGCAGACAAUGACAGUGACAAAACAAAAGCACUCAGGA